GACGAACGCUGGCGGCGUGCCUAAUACAUGCAAGUUGAGCGCUGAAGGUUGGUACUUGUACCAACUGGAUGAGCAGCGAACGGGUGAGUAACGCGUGGGGAAUCUGCCUUUGAGCGGGGGACAACAUUUGGAAACGAAUGCUAAUACCGCAUAAAAACUUUAAACACAAGUUUUAAGUUUGAAAGAUGCAAUUGCAUCACUCAAAGAUGAUCCCGCGUUGUAUUAGCUAGUUGGUGAGGUAAAGGCUCACCAAGGCGAUGAUACAUAGCCGACCUGAGAGGGUGAUCGGCCACAUUGGGACUGAGACACGGCCCAAACUCCUACGGGAGGCAGCAGUAGGGAAUCUUCGGCAAUGGACGAAAGUCUGACCGAGCAACGCCGCGUGAGUGAAGAAGGUGUUCGGAUCGUAAAACUCUGUUGGUAGAGAAGAACGUUGGUGAGAGUGGAAAGCUCAUCAAGUGACGGUAACUAACCAGAAAGGGACGGCUAACUACGU
rnacentral:rRNA from 1 species